GACAGAGGCCCCAAGCGUUAGGCGGAAUCACUGGGCUUAAAGCGUGUGUAGGCGGAUCGUUAAGUGUCUUGUGAAAUCCCACGGCUCACCCGUGGAACUGCUGGGCAUACUGGCGAUCUUGGGCCAACUAGGGGCAGCCGGAACAAGCGGUGGAGCGGUGAAAUGCGUAGAUAUCGCUUGGAACGCCAAAGGUGAAAACAGGCUGCUGGGGUUGUGCCGACGCU
rnacentral:rRNA from 1 species